rnacentral:tRNA from 1 species
AGUUUAUGAACUUGAAUAAGUAUAUAUUUUGAAAAUAUAAUAUAGAGAAAUUCUCUAUAAACUU